rnacentral:tRNA from 1 species
GGCUACGUAGCAUAAUGAUAAUGCGUUUCAUUUACGUUGAAGAAAAUCUUUAGGAAUUAAAGCGUUGGUCA